CAUUAUAAUCUAGUCUCUAUAGUAAUUAAUAACUGGUCCCGAAAAUAGAAUUUAGUGGGUCAAAAGGCACCACUCCUCACUAAAUUAAAAUAUACUUGUCUUUCUUUUUGGGACUUAGUAAAAUCCCUAAACCCUAAUCUGCUCACCUUCAAGUUGCCCCACAUUGAAUACACCUCUUCUUCUUCAUCUCCAUCGACUAAAGUUGCUUCUUCCAACAUCACCAACCUGAAAAUUCUUUGAUAACACAAAAUUAAUAAACCAAUGAAGCUAAUUUCCUUCCCGUCAUGAGUAACCCACCUUCAAGUGAUGCUCUUUCGAUUUGACAAAGAAGAUUACAGGUGGGCUCUGCAACAACUGUAAUAAUCAAGGAAAUGGGGUAUUUUCUUCACUUGAUAUCCUUAUGGCGAUAUUUAAUCUACUAAAUUUUGACUUUUGCUUGUUUUGUUAUUAUUUUUAUAGUUUGCUUCAAAUUCUAUAUGUACGACGCCGAAUUAGUUCUAUAUGUGUUUUUUGGUUGAAAAUAUACGUUGUUGGCUAUGAAAGUUACCUAUUUUAAAGAAAAAAAACUUUUUUGAUUGGGUAAUUAUUUCUUCUCCAAAAGCAGUUGUCCACUCAUUUUCAGGUUUCACAUCAAAGGUUUGGUGAACAAGUCAAUUAUAGUUCUCAUCUAAGGUAAACCAACAAAGUCGCCAAAAAGAAGUAUUCUAGAACUUAUUCUUGACAUUCUGCAAUGGUUGCAGCAUCCUUAUAUUAUAUUAAGUUUGAUAUUUAUCACAUUACGUGUACAAUAAGAAAUACAUUAUACAUCUUACUACUUUGUUUGUGUGUAUUUUUAUGUUAGGAGGGAUGAAUACCUAUUAAAUAUUUGCAGAACCAGUUGAUCGCGCUGAGGUUCUAUUGGUCUUAUGAUUGGCUUUGGUUUUUGAAGGCCAGGUAUUCUUAAUAAAUUACAUCUUCUGUUUCUAUUAUGGUGGAAGAUUACUAUGAAAUCAUUAAAGAACCUAUGGAUUUCGGUACAAUGAGGCUAAGCUUCAUGAGGGAAUGUAUGAAAACCUCCAAAAGUUAGAGAUCUGCUAUUCCCCUAAAUUGAGCCUUUAGGUUUAUUUUCUUAUAUAGAAAAUCUUUUUCUUUUCCCUUCAAGUCAAAGUGGACUUGGAUGAAUUCGAGGAAGCAAUAUCAAGUUGUGUCAGUCAUUCUCUUUCUAUUAUAGUUACGUUGAUUGUAGCAACAUUUGGACCUUCAAUCACAUACCAUGUUUGUGAAGUGCAUUAUCUACUAAUAACACAACAAUCAAUCAUUAAUUUAAAAAGAAUGUCCAUACAUAUAAUGUCUAUUUAAUUCUAAUUACACGUAGUCAGGUUAUCUAUUCCUAGACUUGGUAGAUGUUACUAUCUUACUAGUUCUACAUAUGUUUUUUGUAUGACUAAACAACUUAGAAAGUAUUUACUCUACUUUUAUCAUUGAUAUUUUGUCCAUAAAUUUGCAGCUACAUGUUCAUAUAUAGAUGAAAGAUUAUGUAUUUCUUAGAACUUUGCUUUAGAAUUGAGUGCAACGUUAAUUGGAAAGUUGAAAUUUAGAUAUACUAGAUUGUCUAAACUAUGUUUAAUUUAAGUUCUCUAGUGGAAUGUUUAGUAGUUAUGAGCAUUAUUAAUUAUGUCUUUGACAGGUUUAAUGAUUUGAUGAAUUUACAAGUCUCCGACCAAAAGCGAAGAUGAGAUUAUCAUAAUGCCGAGACAGUUGGACAACUUUUCAAAUUUCGUAUAGUAAAUGUAAUGACUAAUAUUGGGCUGUAGAAUGCUACAUUGCUACUGAUGGGAUGUUAAUCUGAUUUUUGUAACUGCUUAUAUAUAUGAAGGCAUGCCAUGCUUGAUCUUA